GAUGAACGCUGGCGGCGUGCCUAAUACAUGCAAGUCGAGCGAACGAACGAAAAGUUUACUCCUCUGAUGUUAUCGACGGACGGGUGAGUAACACGUGGAUAACCUACCUAUAAGACUGGGCUAACUUCGGAGAACCGGCGCCAAUACCGGGUGAUAUUUUGAACAUAAUGUUUCAAAAAUGCAAGACGAUCUUGUUAUAACUACUACGUUGAUCCGCGCUGUAUUGGCUAGUUGGUAAGGUAACGGCUUACCAAGGCAACGAUGCAUAGCCGACCUGAGAGGGUGAUCGGCCACACUGGAACUGAGACACGGUCCAGACUCCGACGGGAGGCAGCAGUAGGGAAUCUUCCGCAAUGGGCGAAAGCCUGACGGAGCAACACCGCGUGAGUGAUGAAGGUCUUCGGAUCGUAAAACUAUGUUAUUAGGGAAGAACAUAUGUGUAAGUAACUGUGAACAUCUUGACGGUACCUAAUCAGAAAGCCACGGCUAACUACGUG
rnacentral:rRNA from 1 species